rnacentral:rRNA from 1 species
GAUGAACGCUGGCGGCGUGCCUAAUACAUGCAAGUCGAGCGGACAGACGAGGAGCUUGCUCCUCUGACGUUAGCGGCGGACGGGUGAGUAACGCGUGGAUAACCUACCUAUAAGACUGGUAUAACUUCGGGAAACCGGAGCUAAUACCGGAUAAUAUCUUGAACCGCAUGGUGCAAUAGAGAAAGACGGUUUUGCUGUCUGUUAUCGCUGGAUCCGGGCCGUAUUAGCUAGUUGGUAAGGUAACGGGUUUUCAAGGCAACGAGGCGUAGCCGACCUGAGAGAGGGAUCGGCGACCUGGGAAGGUGGCCAGGGACCUGAGUCCUACGGGAGGGCGCAGACGCGUACGGGACGCAGUGGGGGGAAGCAUUGCGGAGUAAGGCCGCGUGAGAGAUGAAGGUGUUCGGAGCGUAAUACCCGGUUAUUAGGGAAGAACAGAUGUGGAAGGAAACAAGCACGUCGUGACGGUACCUAGUAAGAAAGCAACGGCUAACUACGUG